rnacentral:lncRNA from 1 species
CUGACUUAAAAACAUAAAAACAAAAUUUAAAACACUAAACUAGACUCAAAGAAUGCAAAACUAUACUUUAAAACACUAAAACAAACCAAAAGACUCAAAACAGCACCUAGCACUCAAAACUGCCAUAAAAACACAAUCUGGGCAGUUUUGAACACUAAGGAAGAAAUUGAACGAAAAUAUGUUACAACUUGACUCAAUACACUUAGAAACACAAACUAAAUUGAUUUCUAACUAAAAUGACACUUGAAACUACAGGGGGAAUUGGUUUUGACGAAUUUAAAAUAAAAUAAGAACUUUGUAAAACAAAACAGGUUUUAAAACGACUUUGGUUUAAAACUUAUGGAUGGAAGGCUAGCUAGGAGGUUCUUCUUCACACAUGUCACACUUGCAUACAAAAUGAUUUCCAAUUGCUUUUCGAUAAGUUAUGAAUACUCAACGCCCCAAAUUAACCGUGAAUUGCACUAAUUAACUCUCAGUUUUUCAACAAGUUAUUAGAUUGGAUGAUUGCAUACGACAACCCAAAAAUUCCCUACAAGUUCCCUACAUGAAUUGCAUAAUAGAGAU